GGAUAACUACCCUUAGGACUGGGAUAACCCUGGGAAACUGGGGCUAAUACCGGAUAGGCAAUUUUUCCUGUAAUGGUUCUUUGUUUAAAUGUUUUUUCGCCUAAGGAUGGGUCUGCGGCCGAUUAGGUAGUUGGUUAGGUAAUGGCUUACCAAGCCGUUGAUCGGUACGGGUUGUGAGAGCAAGAGCCCGGAGAUGGAACCUGAGACAAGGUUCCAGGCCCUACGGGGCGCAGCAGGCGCGAAACCUCCACAAUGUGAGAAAUCGCGAUGGGGGGAUCCCAAGUGCCAUUCUUAACGGGAUGGCUUUUCACUAGUGUAAAAAGCUUUUGGAAUAAGAGCUGGGCAAGACCGGUGCCAGCCGCCGCGGUAACACCGGCAGCUCUAGUGGUAGCAACUUUUAUUGGGCCUAAAGCGUCCGUAGCCGGUUUAAUAAGUCUCUGGUGAAAUCCUGUAGCUUAACUGUGGGAAUUGCUGGAGAUACUAUUAGACUUGAGACCGGGAGAGGUUAGAGGUACUCCCAGGGUAGAGGUGAAAUUCUGUAAUCCUGGGAGGACCGCCUGUUGCGAAGGCGUCUAACUGGAACGGUUCUGACGGUGAGGGACGAAAGUUAGGGGCGCGAACCGGAUUAGAUACCCGGGUAGUCCUAACUGUAAACGAUGCGGACUUGGUGUUGGGGUGGCUUUGAGCUGUUCCAGUGCCGAAGGGAAGCUGUUAAGUCCGCCGCCUGGGAAGUACGGUCGCAAGACUGAAACUUAA
rnacentral:rRNA from 1 species